AGUGAACGCUGGCGGUAGGCCUAACACAUGCAAGUCGAACGGCAGCACAGUAAGAGUUUGCUCUUACGGGUGGCGAGUGGCGGACGGGUGAGGAAUACAUCGGAAUCUACUUUUUCGGGGGGGAUAACGUAGGGAAACUUACGCUAAUACCGCAUACGACCUACGGGUGAAAGCAGGGGAGCUUCGGACCUUGCGCGAUUGAAUGAGCCGAUGUCGGAUUAGCUAGUUGGCGGGGUAAAGGCCCACCAAGGCGACGAUCCGUAGCUGGUCUGAGAGGAUGAUCAGCCACACUGGAACUGAGACACGGUCCAGACUCCUACGGGAGGCAGCAGUGGGGAAUAUUGGACAAUGGGCGCAAGCCUGAUCCAGCCAUACCGCGUGGGUGAAGAAGGCCUUCGGGUUGUAAAGCCCUUUUGUUGGGAAAGAAAAGCAGCAGGUUAAUACCCCGCUGUUCUGACGGUACCCAAAGAAUAAGCACCGGCUAACUUCGUG
rnacentral:rRNA from 1 species